rnacentral:rRNA from 1 species
GCGAAAACUUUACAAUGCUGGCAACAGCGAUAAGGGAACCUCGAGUGCCGGGUUACAAAUCUGGCUGUCGAGAUGCCUAAAAAGCAUUUCAUAGCAAGGGCCGGGCAAGACCGGUGCCAGCCGCCGCGGUAACACCGGCGGCUCGAGUGGUAACCGUUAUUAUUGGGUCUAAAGGGUCUGUAGCCGGCCGGAUAAGUCUCUUGAGAAAUCUGGCAGCUUAACUGUCAGGCUUUCAGGAGAUACUGUCUGGCUCGAGGCCGGGAGAGGUGAGAGGUACUUCAGGGGUAGGGGUGAAAUCUUGUAAUCCUUGAAGGACCACCAGUGGCGAAGGCGUCUCACCAGAACGGACCUGACGGCAAGGGACGAAAGCUAGGGUAGCGAACG